GAUGAACGCUGGCGGCGUGCUUAACACAUGCAAGUCGAACGGUGAACGAGGGAGCUUGCUCCCUCCGGAUCAGUGGCGAACGGGUGAGUAACACGUGAGCAAUCUGCCCUGGACUCUGGGAUGAGCGUUGGAAACGACGUCUAAUACCGGAUACGAGGCGUGGGGGCAUCCCCAACGCCUGGAAAGAACUUCGGUCCAGGAUGAGCUCGCGGCCUAUCAGGUAGUUGGUGAGGUAACGGCUCACCAAGCCGACGACGGGUAGCCGGCCUGAGAGGGGGACCGGCCACACUGGGACUGAGACACGGCCCAGACUCCUACGGGAGGCAGCAGUGGGGAAUAUUGCACAAUGGGCGCAAGCCUGAUGCAGCAACGCCGCGUGAGGGACGACGGCCUUCGGGUUGUAAACCUCUUUUAGCAGGGAAGAAGCGAAAGUGACGGUGCCUGCAGAAAAAGCACCGGCUAACUACGUGCCAGCAGCCGCCGUAACAC
rnacentral:rRNA from 1 species